rnacentral:lncRNA from 1 species
CACACACAUAUGCACCCUCAGCGGCUCGGGUCCGGCCGCCUAGGAUGGUGCAUGAAAUUGGAGUGUGAUUGUGUGCGAGUGUCGGAAUUGGCGUGCCUCUGGACAAGCUGUCCAAAGUUGUCGCACUCGACCAUAAUUAGGCGGCUCUGGUCCGGCCGCCUGCAGGUGGGUGAUUGUUGUAGUUGUUUUGUGUUUGUUUUAUUUUAUUUAUUUAUUUUAAUUGUUUUCCUCUUUUAUUUCCAGGUAUUUCUGCAGAGGCGCAUCGUCGAUUAGUGGCUGGCCACGCCAUCAACAAAUACACUCUCUAUGGACCAGAGGAGUGUAUGGAAUUGAAGAGAAUGAUGGCGUGACGAAUCGUGGAGGGCGUGGCAUGUUCGCGCUCCUUGUCCAGUGCACGACAAACCUCAAGCGGCUGCUGGUCCGGCCGCCUGCAGGUAAGUACGUGUUUUUUGUAGUUUGGUGAUUUUUGCGUCUUAUUUUUUAUUUAUGUUUAUUUGUUCCAGGUUUCCUUGCAGGACUGCGUCAUUGGUGUUGAUUUGGAUGCUUUUGCUGCUGCUGCUGCUGCUGCUGGUUGGUGAGUAUGUG